AUCAACAUGAUGUACAUUAGUGGAAUUUAAGGUAACUAGAAAUGGCCGACGCCGACUUCCAAUUAUGAGAAAACUUAUUGUUUACAUCUGUAUGGUGUAGUAACCUGAAUAUCAACAUAACUAGUACCUCCUUCAUCUUGCAGGACAGAAACCGUGUAUUCGGUUGUCCGAGAUGCACAAGGAGGAAAAUAAGCAAGAGAUUAAGGAUGUUAGUGAUGAUGAUUCUGAUGAUGACGACGAAUUGAUCACCAGGGUUCCAAAGCGAAAACGUUCAAUUGAAUCAGAUUCAGAAGAUGGUUCAGAUACAGAUGAAGAAUGCUCAGAUGAAGAAGAUUGUGAUGAUGACGAUGGCCAAGAAGAUGAAGAAAAAAGUGACGAGGCUUGUAGUGAAGAAGGGGAAGAUUCGGAAGAGGACACUGAUGACACUGAUAAUGAGGACGAAGAAAGUGAAGAAGCAACAGACAGUGAAGAAUAUGAUUCUGAUGACGAAGUUCAAUCAACAUCUGCAAAUAAUUCCCUCACAACAAAAUCCUUAGUUGAAAAAGGAAAUGAAUCUGAGAGUAGUGACAAUGGAGAAGGAGCUGCUGAACCAUGUGCUAUCUGCCUGGGACGUAUGAAAGGAGAAAUUGGAUCACCGGAAGGCUGUGAACAUUCAUUUUGCCUUGAAUGUAUUCUCGAGUGGUCAAGAACAAAUAACAGCUGCCCUCAAGAUCGGACACCAUUUUUGUUGGUGUUGGUGCGCCAGCGCAUUGGGGGGCGUGUUAUCCGACGAGUUACCGUUAAGGAAGUAAAGCCUGAUGACCUUCCACCAGAGGAACAGGAGGACCACACCUUCUGUGAGGUUUGCGGUCGGAGUGACCGUGAGGACCGGCUGCUGUUGUGUGAUGGCUGUGAUUUGGGUUAUCACCUGGAGUGCCUUGACCCACCAUUGACUCGUGUACCCAUCGAAGAGUGGUUCUGUCCUGACUGCCAGGCUGUGAAUAGCUCCUCGGCUGCCGCAGAGGCUGAAAUUGAGGACGGAGAACUUCAUGACUUAAUUGAAGAUGGUGCUCCAAGCUCAUCCCUCCCAGCCUUGCGUCCAAACCGAGCUGUUGAGAGACCAAGGCUCUUACCCCGUACCCGUGCCUCAGAAAGAGUUCGUGCUCGUAUCACACGAUCUCGACAGCAGAGGGCUAUUAUUACAGAAAAUGAAAUGCGAGAACAGGAAGCUCUGCUUGAGGCUAUUGCAGAAGCCGAGGAGUUGGGGGCAAGUGGAAGUCAGAGCAAUACACAGGCCAAGAGUGCAUCAAGUACCACAGCACGCAGAACCACUAAAGCUCCCAGAAGAAAAAAGAGAAAAAUUGUCCGUAAGAAGAAGAGAAAAGUUAGAAAGAAAAGAAAAACAACCACAAAGAAAAAGGCAACAUCUACAUCAAAAUCUGGCAAACGUCUUAAGGUUAAACGUAAAACUAAAAAAACUACACGAAAGAGAAAAACAAAGAGAAAGAAAAAGAAGGUAAUCAAGAAAACAAAACUGCCUGUCCCAGCCAUGACUCCCAAAGCUAGAAUAGCAGAGGCUCUUGGCAUAAAACCAUCUAAACCUUGGGAACGUGUUCCAACAAUGCAACCUUUCAGCAAAGAUCAAGAUCUUGGAACCUUGAGAGCUAAUGCAGCACUACCUCAUCUUUCUCUUUUAGGGGUGAAUGCCGAUGUAGACAUAAGUUAUGGGCCUGAUGAAUUUGGAGAUGCCAUUCUUGCUGCAGGGGUAAGAAGAGGGAGAGUAAUAGACACCGGCCAAGCUCUUGCACGCCGUAAGGCACUCUCCGUUAGAGCUCUUAUGUCUCAUGCAUCCAUUCGUACUUCAGUGGCGGCAAAACCAAGAGUAGAAAAUAACACCAGCAUUGCCAGUGAUGUAUUGGGCUCAAUAAUGGAGAGCCAAUCUCUCAUCCUGAAGCCAUUUACACCAAGCAAAUAUAACGGUCCUUAUAAAAUACCUAUUAACAUUGGUAGUCGAAUACAUGAGCAUCUUCGAUUAAAUGGCAAAGUAGGAAUAAAUAUGCGAGCAGCUGGGCCAGAGUCACCAGGGAGACAGCAAGCUGGUGGAGAUGGACAGUCUUCCUCACCCUCCAGGCAGCAGCAACAGCCUGGACAGUCAGCAAGUGGUGGUGGUGGUGGUAGUGGUGGUGGAGGUUCUCCAAUUGCUGGUAACAGCAGACCUCAGGGAGAUGACACACCAGGGUCAAAGUCGUACUCUUCAUAUUUCAAAGAAAAUGGUGGUGAUGGCAGAGAAGGAGGACCUCUGAGUGAAUUACCAAGUGGCAGCUGUAAUGGUGGUGAAAAGAAAGAAAAGAAACAUGAUGAUAAAAAGAAAAAUGACGAUGAUGAUGAGAUAGAUAUUUAUAGUGAUAUAGAACCAGAAGUACCUGAAGCAGAAGAAGAGGAGGAGGAGGAGGAGGAGGAUGAAGAAGGUGAUAUUGGAAACUAUAAGGGUAGUAUAUCUAUUACUGCAACAUCCGAGGCUGAUAAGAAAGAAAACAGUGACAAAAUUGAUCCCGAGUCAAGUGGUGAUGAACUUGUGAUUGAUGAUAGUGAUAAACCAGAAAGUAGAGGACACGUAGAAACAAUGCCCCGGAGAAUAGUAAUAGAGGAAUCGGAGGAAAAUAAUGUAGUGGGAAGUAGUAACUUGCCGGGCUUAAAUGACUUUGAACUGGAAGCCGUGUCAGAUACCGAUACUCCCGAGUUAGAAAAAUCUGCCAAUAGUUCAAUAUCUUUAUCUGAUAGUAAUAUGGGAGAUCAUGAAGUGACUAGUAGCACAAAUGAAAAUGCAAAUCCUAAUAAAUCUGACUGUUUAGUUAAACAGAUAUUCGGUGAAAGUGACGAAGAAAAAGGUAGAGAGAGAAACAAUCAACCUAUUGUUGGCUUGGAGGGGCUGGAAACUGAAACAAUAUCUGAUAAUGAAGAGAUUAGUUUUGACGAUAACGAUGAUAAUAUUGAGGAAGGUGAAAUUCCCAGUGAAACUCCGAGGCAUGUUACUCCUCCCUCUCAUCGCCCUCGAGUUAAUUUACAGAUCCGCCGUGUAAUAGAAGUGUCUCCCUCUAGGGACCAGGAAGGAGAGUAUGAAGAAGGUGAAAUAAUAGAUGAGAAUGCCAAGCGUAAGGAGAAAAAGAAAGAUAAGAAAGAGAAGAAUAAAAAAGAAAAAGAUAAAGAGCUAAAGGAUUACGAUAAAGAAUAUGAAGAAGCAGAUAAAGACAAAGAGAAUACAGUGCCAGAAGUUGAAGCAGUGUCGCCUAAAGAGCCAGUGGCUGUAGUCCCUGAAAGACCAAAGACUCCUCCUUUAAAGUUAAAAUCGAAAACUAAACAAAAGGAAAAAGAGAAAGAUGUUUCAUUUAAAAAAGUUUCUAAAAACACCAAAGAAAGAAAUUAUAGAGAUACUGAAAAAGAGGACAGAGAGAGAAAAGGGACAAAAAAUAACAGAAAUAGAGAUGUUCAAGACUUGGGACGUGAUAGAGCUAGGGACCGGGAUAGAGGGGACAGAGAUAGAAAUGUCGACAGAAGUAGAGAUUCGGGCCGAAGAAGAUUAAGGGAUAGAGAAAGAAAAAAAGAGCCUAAAAGAAAAGAAAUGGAAAGAUAUAAUGUCCGGAAAAUGAUUACUCAGAAAGAAGAAGAAAGGAAAAAGAAGGAUGAAUUUGGACGUGAUGUAGCACUUAGGUCAAGAUCUAGAUCUAGAUCGAGACGAAAGUCUAGAUCGCGGUCAAGAAGGCGAUCCAAGUCCAGAUCACCUCAUGCCACAAGAGCCCGGAAGGGCAGGAAAAGUUAUUCGCGCUCAGCCUCUCGGUCCCGUAAUAAAAAAAGGACAAGAAGAAGGAGUUACUCGUCGUCUUCCUCUUCCUCCUACACAUCCUCAAGUUCAAGCUCAAGUUCCAGUUCGUCAUCAAGGUCCAGAUCUCCUGGGCGAAGUAGAGACAAGAGAAGAAGAAGAACGAGAAGCAGAUCAAGAACGCCUGUUAAAAAGAAACCAGAAAAGAAAAAAGUUCCAAUUCCUGCCAAACCAAAAGAGAAAACCAAAGAAAAAACUAAAAAAAUUAAUCCAGUUGUAGAAAAGAAAAAGGAAAGGAAAAAGGAUGAUAAAAAGAAAGAACGGGAAGUAGAUAAGAGAGAGGAAACAAGACUUGAAAAAGAUAAGAGGAAAAAGAAAAGGGAAAAGUCUCCUUUGCAGAGUAAAGAAGUUUACCAGGCUGGUGGAAGCAUUAUGGUGAGUGUCAGUUUUAACAGGGCACCAGGAAAAGAAAAUAAAGAAGGUAAAAAGAAAAAAGAAAAAAAUGUAAAAUUAGAAGGAGAGGCAAGGAGGAGGGCAAGAAAAGAUAAUACAAAGCUACGUGGAAGUCCUUUUAGAGUUUGGUCAAGAAGUCGAACUCCAUCCCCAGGUGGUAAACGAACACCCCUUCAAGACGAGCCAAUGUGGUCACCCGUACGAUUGGCCGAGACUCGCAAUAAAGAAAAGCCACCUAAAAGUCCAGAAAUUAUAGAUUUAGAUGUGAUUAUGGUCACACCACCACCUCAGGAACCCAUCCUUAUCUCUGACUCAGAAGAUGAGGGCAUUACUCGGUUGCCUCCAGAUUUAGGCACCACACCUGUGCCUCCUGUCAGACCUCAGGGACCUAAAACUCCUCCUGAGCCUGCUGUCAAAUUUACACUUUCAAGCAAGCAGGUGCUUAAACCUAUUAAUAAUCCAUUGCGUGAUGAGGAGGAGGAGGAGGAGGAACCCCCAGCUCCUGCUAGAGGACCCAAUACUCCACCUGGUCCUCCUCCAGAAUCAGAUGAGUCUGUUGGAAGAGCAAAGUCCCCCACAGUUAGAGUACCACACUCUCCAGCUGGGUCUCCCCCAGGUUCUUCUCCUGAGCCAGAUGUUUAUGAUCCCUUUGAACCAACAAAGUCUCCAUCUCCUCCAGGUUCCCCUCAACAGGAAGCUCGAGUUAGUAGCAGUGAUCAGACUGAAACAGUGGAGAAAGCUUCCCCUGAAGCUGUCUCUGCAACAAAAGCAGCUUCUCCUCCACCUUUACCCACAGAACCACCAGAACCUGAAGAGAGACCACCUGAACCUCAAAAACCACCAGAAGAGGAAGCUACAAGUACUGUGCCCCCUACUACAGCACCUGCUGCACCUGUGGCUGUAACAACAAAUGCUGCCCCUAAGGCACCCAAAGCUGCGAAGGCUGCAAAAACUGCUGCUGCUGUAUCUACUAAAGCAGCUGCUCCAAAAACUGCAGCUCCUGCUCCUACAGCCCCAACAAAUCCCAUAAAUCAGAUAUUUCCUGGUCUACCUGCCAAUGUUGCUAAUAUUCUUUAUCCAGCAGUUAUAGCAGCUGCAGGACGUAGUGCUGCUGCUGGUACCAUAAUUCGUCCACAAGUUGUGCAAACUGUGACGGCUCCAGACUUUUCACGGCCCCCUCCAGCAGCCAACCCCUUAAGCCGCCCUCCUCUAAUGACUAUAAUAGCUCCUACAAGACUUGGAGAAAAGGGCAGAGCAACACAGAAUGGAAGAGAUAUAACGCAUACAGAUGUCAUUGACAUGGAUCUGGAUUCGCCAAAUUCACCUGACAGCUCUGAUGUCAGUGACAUGUUUGAACCACCUUCGCCUCACUCAACACAUCAGUCUGAGAAACCUUCUCCUAGAAAGACAAGAAGUCAAGCCAGAGCAGCAACUAUGAAGGCUGGUAAAGGGGGAGGAGAUAAAUUUGAUAACCUGUUUGGCGGCCGAGGUGGACGCAAGCACAGUACUCCUCACAGACACAAGUUUGGUAGAAAAGUCAAACCUGGAGGUGUUUGUGCUAGGAGAGGUAGAACUUGAGCCAUAGUAGCAGCAGCAUCUUCAUCAGAACAAUCUAUAUUAGUAGGUGAUGUAGAGUUACUGCAAUCCUGAGUAAACACUGGCUCCAUUUAUGAAAAGCUGCUCUCGUCUGAAAUUUGUUCUAAGGGAUCUUUUAAUAUCUCUGAAUUAUUAAAAGAUAAUUCUCCAGCAGUUGGAACACAGUAAAAAGGAAGGUAAUGAAGAGGAUAUACCAAGUUCAGCGGUAGACUUACAA
rnacentral:misc_RNA from 1 species